rnacentral:misc_RNA from 1 species
CUGUGUAGUAGGGAUAGUACGCGUGAUCUCCUAUUUUGGUUUGGCUGUGUAUACCCUGUCUUUAGUGGGCGCGCUAGGGAACCAUCUGUAGCACAGCGAUUCCCCGGCUUGCACGACACACACACACAAACACAGACACAGACACGCCCGGUCUUACUCAGGCGCACGUCGGUGUCGUCGAGCCAAGGAUCUUUGGUGGCGAGUUUGAAUUCACAGACAACGCAGGAGGAUUGUCCUCUAGCUACACACACACACACACAUACAUAUAGAGAAGGAAUCUCGCGCCAAGGGAAUCGGGCGAGCACGCGCACUUGUUGAUCGCCACGCACAACCUCUUCCCCACCCAGCUCUCUCUGUUUCUCUCGUUCUCCCGGCGCUGCGCUUGCACAUCCUCACAUCGCUGCGGUCUGUCUCUACGCUGAGCCCCUUUUGAUUUCCUUUCUGCCGUCUUGUCGCGUCUCUUCGCCUUCCUUCUCAUCCCUCUACCCCCCAGGUCGCCCCCUUUCCGUCCUCUUACCCUUCGCCGCCGCCGACUGUCGCCGGCUGAUGAAGUCCAACGUCGAGGCCGACGCCGCCGCGAUGGGCCCCUAUCACGGCAACGGCAUGAUGGCACCUGCCAUGAGCGCGAACGAGCCAAUGCAAGUGGUGUACAACCGCACACAGAAGCGCGUGCCGGUUUUCCGCGACAGCCUGAUUAUGUACGAGCAGCAGAUGGUGCGGGUGAUGGAGGAACUGCGCACGCUGACGAUGGACGUGAAUGCGCUGCGGGCGCAUUACGAAGAGGCGCUCCAGGAGAAACUGUACAUUGAGAACCUCGCGGCACAGGCGGAGAAGCGCGUGCAGGACGUGAAGGAAAUCGUGGACCGCUACGUUGGUGUCAAAGACGCGGUGGUAGCCAGCGACGGCUUCACGUAUGAGCGGGAGACGAUCUCCUCGUAUAUCGAAGGCUGCAAAGAGGCUGGCGGCACGCCGACGUCAUACCAGACAGAGAAGCCGCUGACCUCGCUGCUGAUCCCGAACCGCUCGCUCAAGACGCUGGUGGAUCGCUUGGCGACGCUGCAGAAGGCGGAGCCGACGCCGCCGGCGCCGGCCGACCGCAACCCGGUGCAGCACCACUCGAAGUCGAUGACGGCGGGCCGCGCAGGAAACGUCUCUAUCAACCAGCACGAAGGCCAGCGGCGCAACAUGCACGGCGGCGGAAAGGACAGCUCCGGCCCGGUGGAGCUGAACGCCAAGGGGGAACGAGUGCAUCCGUGCAUUCGUGUGUACGGGUACUGCAACUACAACGAGAGCUGCGCGUACGCGAAGUAUCCGUACGAUGCGUGCUUGUCGAAUCUGAAGAACAAGUGCCGCUUCAAGAACCAGUGCCACGAGCGCCACGUCGAGUUCCGCGGCCCACUGGACGACUACGGUAACUGCGCUUCCACUAACCAGGGGCCUAACCAAGAGAUCAUUGCGUCCGAGCCCGUGGGGGAAGCGAACAAGUAGACUCCGUGUCUUUCAUCUUGGGCGCUCCUCUGUCACCCUCCGUCACCCUCUGCCACACGCACACAGACGCAGACGCAGACAGAAGUUAGUUGGCCAGAGAGGAGAAAGGCACCGCAGCCACCCUUGCCAGAGGGCCGCCCUUUUUCUUUGUCGCUUUAAAGGUUAUAUGUGUUGCAUCUCUCUCUCUCUCUGCGCGUGCAAGAUUGCUGCUCAUGCCCCUCCCACUUCCUGUUGGAUGCUUGCUGCUCUAUUUCCGAGUGCGUGUGUGUGUGCGUGUAUUCUCUGCUGUCGCCCGAUUCAACGCCGGCAUUUCUGCACCUCUCUCUCUCUCAGGGCGCCUCUUUGAGAAAGAAGCCGUUGUCUCCCCACGCCCACGCAUCUGUUGUCUUUUCCAGCCGCCCCUUUGUUUUCGUUUCGCUUCUCUUUCUCUUCCCUUCCCCUCCCUUCUUCCUCCUCCUCACAUCUCCUGUUCCGUGCUCGACGCGCUCUCGUUUCUUCGGCUCCUCUUCUCUCUCUCCUCCCGCGACCUGCGUGACCGCUGCCCUGAGUGCUUCCUCUCUUGCCUGUUCUUUUACCGUGUGUGCGGAGUUGCAUCCUCCUUCUCCUCCUUUUCACGCUUUUUUCGCUCCUCGACUCCCCCCCACCCUUCCCAACUCGCGUCGCGUGGCUCUGGCUGCUCUCGCCUUCCUUUUCUUUCCAUUGUCUUUCUGUGUGCGUGCUAGCCGCGCGCCCUUGUUGGCGUUUUCGGCCAGUGCGCGCUGGUAAGGCAGUAGCCUUAUUGCGUGUAUGCGUCGGCUGUGAUGGCCGCGGUCUCGUGAAAGCGCUUCUUGCCGAUGUGGUCGGCGAGAUGAGGGGUGGGACGGGUUGUUGAGAGGAAGGAUCACGGGCUGGGGUGAGUCGGUGACUCGGCAAAGACGACGCCUCGUCUAGUACUGUUGCUCGAACAAACUCUUCUCCCCGUUCGGCCCUACGAUAAACGACGUUUCUUUUUCCUGUGGUUGUCUCUCCUCCGUGUUGCGAGGCAACAAGAGGACGUUCUUGCCCAGGCGCGCACGGGCACCUGCCCGCACUUCGGAUGCCUUCAACCGCGGGCUACGAGCAUCGACAGCAUGGAGUGCAGAUGGCGCGCUGCCCACUGCUGCGCUCGCGUUGUUGCGCCUCCGCCCCCGCCGGAGCCGCUGCCCUCCUGCCUGCGUCUGCUGUGAGGGCGUCCGGCCCGGCGUUGAGCCCGAUAUGCUGCGUGUAAUCCGUGGAUCGCUCAAGGCUCGAAGCGCGCCUUCUUUAUAAUCUUGCCCACAGCGGCCUGAUUGCGCACACCGCGCUCGCGCUGGGUGGGCUCCUCACUUGUCUGGUGUCCGCGGCUGCCCACCCCCUCUGCACUCUUAGAGGGACAGAGCACGGGCUCUCUGUGCGCAGUCGCAUGCCUAUGCACAGGCCCCUUCGGCUGGCCACACCGACUCCUGUGGGAGGCGUGCGGAUUCAGGAGAGGGUGGUGUGUCCCCUGCCGCCACAGACUCAUGGCUGCGUCGCACCUGCCGUGGCACGCGCGGGCAAGCCCCGAAGACGCGCCCCGGUGAAAUGGGCGGAAGCGGAGGAUGAAGACAGCGAGCCCCCGAGACAGCAACGCCGUCCUGAAACAGGCCCCACGAUCUGAAAAUGUGAGCACUGUGUGCACGCGCUGCCAGCCACAGCUGGCAUGGUGCGUCGCAUUCACGCAAGGCAUCCAGAGGUCGGCAGAGCAAGGAUGAUGGACGGUGAAGGCGGGAAGAGAUCCACACGAAUGAACCCCCCCCCCCCACACACACACAGUGCAUGCGUGCGAAGCAUGUGCGGCACGCCCUCCAUCCGACCGUGUGGGCUGACGCGGCGGGAAGCACGACGAGAACACGGCGAGCCGCGCCAUCGAGUCCUCCCGGCUCGAAUGUGGAGAGUCACUGCAGGAUCUUGUGGAAUGCCGUGGCUUGAGGCGACGGAGGGCGAAGCAUGGCAUGCGGCCCGGGCACAGGGACUCGGAGGGCCCUAGCCCGCAGCUGGCCAGCUUCCUGCUUGAACUCACCUGAGAUGCACCUUGACCACCUCCUGUUAUCCUCGCGGCGGACGCCACCGCUUCCGGCCUGGGGCUGGACCCUGGACGCAGCCCUCUCGGAUCAAGGCAUGCCGUCCUCCCGCGUCUCCGCCUGGCGCUGAUCGCGCAGCGCGUAUCGGAGAAGGGGACGAGGAAGGGCGAGACGAGUCCGCACGACGCACGGCCCGAUUCGACGGCAGCGACGGCUCGUCCUGGUGGACCAGGAGGUAGCCGUGGUGCAGCAGAGGUAGGCGAGCCUCGGUUGUGUCUGCGUGUGUAUGUUUGCUGACUUGUGCGUGGUGGAAUGACAUGUAAAGAAAAAUGGUCUCCUGGUUCCUUCGACGCCAAUGGAUAUGAGUGGGCAGAUGACCGUUCCUGUCAAACCAAUAGUCUGUGUGUGGUGCUUCGCACCUGGAAAAGAUGUUGGUGUGCUUUCAUGGGACGUCGCUGGAUGUCUCGCUGCUCCUCGCUUUACCUCUCGGGGUGUAUUGGCGGUGUGCGUAUGUUGUACUUGUGCUCGUUUUUUUUUUGGUGUUGUGCCGUUGUGUUGUAACGCGCGCGACUCGGUCUUGUGGCCGUUUUUCUCUUUGGUUUCUUUGUUUCUGCCGGCGUGUGUGGUGCAUAAGCGUGCGUGCGCACGUCCGUCCUUUGUCCGGGACGCGUUACCUUGGUGCUUGUCGAUGUGCACAUGUAUGUUGUCGUGUUGCAUUUGUGUGCGUGUGUGUGUGUCUCUGUUGUUUGCUGGCGGGGUGCGUUCGUCUCUGUUCUGCUCUCUCCGCCCUGCGCUGUGUGUGUAUGGGUGGGGCGAGAGAGGGAGUGGAAGCGAGAAGGCGAGAGUGAGAAGCACCGGAGGCGUUCUCUUUCUCUGUCUGUGCCCGUCUGUCCAUUUUUUCGCGUGCGUGUGCGCGAUUCGCCAACUUGGUGCUCUUUGCGUUUUUCGAUCCCAAUAACUACCGCGGAAAAAAAAGCAAAUACCAGAUUAUCGCACGACGUUCAUCGACAGCAAGUGAGGGUCAAGCACAGAUGCCGACGUGGCGCUCUGGGGGAGCGCCUCGUAUAAACUCAUGCACCGAUGCACGAUGAGUCCGACGUGCUUGCACCCGCCAACACUCACCAACGCGAACACGAGUUCUACUUGGUGUGUAUGUGAGCCCACAGGCAGAUACGUCUCUCCACGGUGGCGCGCCUUUGACCGCUGUCUUGCCACGUUGAGUGCGAGUGAAGGGCGAGAAGAGGCGCCGGAGAAGUGAGUCGGAGCUGUGGCAGGCUCUGUUCCUUUUGAAAGCCUUCGACAGGAGUGCAAGAGGGGGGAAUGGUCGAGACAAAAGACAACACAAAACAGCGUGAGGAGGAGGAGUGCGUGAACCUACUCGCCGCCACUCGAAUGGCAUGCUGCAACAACCAUCAGAUCGUCUCCUUUACCCUCCCUCCCGCCUCCCCCCCCCCCGUCCUGUUCGUCUACACGGCAUUUUCGAUGUCGAGGAAG